rnacentral:lncRNA from 1 species
GGACGGCCGGCCGGGCAAUCACGGGCUGAGCAGCCUCCCUCGCCUACUUCUCUGUGCUCGCCAAGGCCCUGCCACUCAGCCGCAGGUGUGCAGGAGGUUGGCCUGGGGACCAGAACCACCGCCCGGCCUGAGCAGGACCUCUAGGUUGGCUGCACAAAGUUUGAAGAUAACUUCAAAUAAUACAAACAUCGUAUACUUCCACAAAUGGCUUGUACACAGAGCUCAUCUACCUUCCUGAGACACUCCGAACAGCCAC